rnacentral:misc_RNA from 1 species
ACACCUCAACUCUCGUGGCCCGCCACGAUGAGCUUGGACUUUGGAGGUCUUGCCGGCGUACCGUCGGCUCCUCUCAAACGAAUCAGCUUGCCAGUGUUUGGUGGCAUCACAGGUGUGAUAACUAUCUACGCUUGUGGUUCUCCACCAGGCGACCUCCAGCGAUGGAGGUUCGCUGGAGCUCACAAAUGUCUCUCCUGAGCGAGGACAGCUUUUUGAAC